GCAUAGAAAAAUACAACUUCUCAUACAUUCCAAACAGUAACUAUCUUCUAAUUGUUGCUGUGACAUUACUACAAACAUUUGUUUUAAUGUUGAGCAAUAUGGAAUCUAGUGCAACACACUAUAAAAAACGUAUUGAAUAAUUUAUGUGAAUCAGUAACAGUAUGUUAAAGUGUUCACACAUUGUCAAACAAUAUGAAGACAAAACUUGUAAUGAAUGGUGGCAAUAUACGGUCACCGCAUGCCAAACAGUUCGUGCUCACAAUGGCGCAACACACUAACGCAUAAGCAUUUCACUGUAUAAAACUAAUUCUUAACAAUUUGUCAGAUGGUUGCACGCAUUAGUAUUUGUAAUCGAUAUUUUUGUGCUCUUGCGCUGCGUUUUCUGUCAGAAUAUGCAAAGUGAAAAAAUAAAACAAAUCGGUUUCACAAGUUUCUACUGCUUUCGUUCGAUUUAUUUGUUUCUUUUUUAUUUGUUUGAGCGGUUUGUACAGUUCAUGAACUUCGCACGAAAUUCACAAUCUUCAAAAAAAUGUUAUCCGGAGUGAACACAUUGGACUGGCGCAAACAAAAACCGAGGAGAACGCGGAAUGGAUUCCGCAGUGGCUAGCUUCUUGCACCCACAAACGGCAAAAAGAAUAGUUGGUGUUUGAUGCAUUCCAAUGGACAAUAUGCAGGACUCGUAGUUGCAGGAUAAGUUAAGCUGGAGGUCAACCUGGAGGGCACAAAGUUGCCGGACUGAAACCGCACCCUGUCGAGCUUGAACUUUUCUUUCGGUGAGAGAUUCGCUUUAAAAGUGUGAAGAUGGUUGGAUUAGAUUUGCGAUUUUCGGAAAUUAUGUUUAAAAUAGUUUUAAAUAUGUUUUACUGCAUGUAACGCAUGCACAGUGGCA